AUUAGCCAUGCGAGUUGAAUGAAAUGCGUAUCAUUUCAUAGCAAACUGCUUAGUAACACAUGAUCAACCUACCCUAUGGAGGGCACUAACCUCGGGAAACUGAGGAUAAUGGCCCAUAGCAGAUUCGGCUUGGAAAAGUGUAUCUGUGAAAGGGAUGCGGAUGAGCCCGCUUGUGCCAUAGGAUGGGAUUGUGGUCGAUUAGGUAGUUGGUGAGGUAAUGGCUCACCAAGCCGAUAAUCGAUAGAGGCCGUGAGAGCGGGAGCCUCAAGAUGGGUACUGAGACAGCGACCCAGGCCCUACGGGGCGCAGCAGGCGCGAAACCUCCACAAUGCACGCAAGUGCGAUGGGGCUACCCAAAGUGCUCCACACGGAGCUGUGGUGGAUGAGUAAUGUUCUCCGCUAGAAAGGAGAGGGCAAGGCUGGUGCCAGCCGCCGCGGUAAAACCAGCUCUUCAAGUGGUCGGGAUAAUUAUUGGGCUUAAAGUGUCCGUAGCCGGUAUGGUAAGUUCCUGGUAAAAUUGGGCAGCUUAACUGUCCUUGUGCUACGGAUACUGCU
rnacentral:rRNA from 1 species